CCCCCAGUAACUGCGAGUGAAGAGGGAUGAGCUCAAAUUUGUAAUCUGGCAGUAUCUCACUGUCCGAGUUGUAAAUUCAAGAAGUGUUAUCCGUGUUGGACCAUGCACAAGUCUCUUGGAAAAGAGCAUCGUAGAGGGUGACAAUCCCGUCUCUGGCAUGGACGCCCACCACUUUGGUGAUACACUUUCAAUGAGUCGAGUUGUUUGGGAAUGCAGCUCUAAAUGGGUGGUAAAUUCCAUCUAAAGCUAAAUAUUGGCGAGAGACCGAUAGCGAACAAGUACCGUGAGGGAAAGAUGAAAAGAACUUUGAAAAGAGAGUUAAACAGUACGUGAAAUUGUUGAAAGGGAAACGCUUCAAGUCAGUCUUGUGUUUCAGAAAUCAGCAGGACUCUGUCUUGUGCACUUUCUGUUCCACAGGCCAGCAUCAAUUUCAACGGCUAGAGAAAAGCUUUGGAAAUGUGGCAUCUUCUAUGGUGUGUUAUAGUCCUUGGCUGUAUGUAGUCGUCGGGAUUGAGGCUUUCAGCUCUCGUAGCUGACAAGGAUGCUGGCGUAAUGGCUUUAAUCGACCCGUCUUGAAACACGGACCAAGGAGUCUAACAUACAUGCAAGUAUUUGAGUUGUAAACUCUGGUGCGCAAUGAAAGUGAAUGUUGAGAACUAUGUCAAAAGUAGUGCAUCAACGCCCGGUCCAGACCUUCUGCGACGGAUCUGCGGUAGAGCAUGUAUGUUGGGACCCGAAAGAUGGUGAACUAUGCCUGAAUAGGGUGAAGCCAGAGGAAACUCUGGUGGAAGCUCGUAGCGAUUCUGACGUGCAAAUCGAUCGUCGAAUUUGGGUAUA
rnacentral:rRNA from 1 species